GGCGGGCGUGCUAUACAUGCAAGUCGAGCGAACAGAAAAGGAGCUUGCUCCUUUGACGUUAGCGGCGGACGGGUGAGUAACACGUGGGCAACCUACCCUAUAGUUUGGGAUAACUCCGGGAAACCGGGGCUAAUACCGAAUAAUCUCUUUUGCUUCAUGGUGAAAGACUGAAAGACGGUUUCGGCUGUCGCUAUAGGAUGGGCCCGCGGCGCAUUAGCUAGUUGGUGAGGUAACGGCUCACCAAGGCGACGAUGCGUAGCCGACCUGAGAGGGUGAUCGGCCACACUGGGACUGAGACACGGCCCAGACUCCUACGGGAGGCAGCAGUAGGGAAUCUUCCACAAUGGGCGAAAGCCUGAUGGAGCAACGCCGCGUGAGUGAAGAAGGUUUUCGGAUCGUAAAACUCUGUUGUAAGGGAAGAACAAGUACAGUAGUAACUGGCUGUACCUUGACGGUACCUUAUUAGAAAGCCACGGCUAACUACGUGCCAGCAGCCGCGGUAAUACGUAGGUGGCAAGCGUUGUCCGGAAUUAUUGGGCGUAAAGCGCGCGCAGGCGGUCCUUUAAGUCUGAUGUGAMWKMYCACRGCWCAUSYGUGSCAGASUCRKUUGGAWACURGUSKKACUUGAGUGCAGUAKACGUMMAGUGGMAUUCSCAAGUUSUWGCGAUGAAUUGCGUAGRAUUCGAUGACGAC
rnacentral:rRNA from 1 species